rnacentral:rRNA from 1 species
CGGACGGGUGAGUAACGCGUAAGAGCUUGCCCUUUAGACUGGGAUAACAGAGGGAAACUUCUGAUAAUACUGGAUAAGUUAGUAUAUCGCAUGAUAUGCAAAUGAAAGCUACGGCACUAAAGGAGAGCUUUGCGUCCUAUUAGCUAGUUGGUAAGGUAAGAGCUUACCAAGGCGAUGAUAGGUAGCCGGCCUGAGAGGGUGGACGGCCACAAGGGGACUGAGAUACGGCCCUUACUCCUACGGGAGGCAGCAGCU